CUUUUAGUAAGAAGCGAUUAAGACAAUAAAAGUUAAGGCGAAUGAAAACUCACGCGUCAAUAAAUACCGACAGUUAACAAAAUGGCGAACGCAAAAUUGCAGUCCUGCCAAUGAAACAAGUCGCUUUACCGAUUCUACCUUACCCAUAGAACGUGGAGUUAUAGUAACUGACCAAAUCGGAAAGAACAUGGUCGUUUCAAUGAUAUCGACCGACAUUUGUGAUAAAAAAAAUAUAUAGAAAGAUUACCAAACGAGGGAAUCAGAAAUAGCGCUACCUAUAGUCGAUACAAAUAAAUUCAAUGGCGCGAAAAGGUUUUACGUAUUUGAAAACACUUCUAACUUCAAACAACCGUACGCAUACCUGAAAUUUUAGAUACUUUUAAGGAAAAUCACAGUGACAGAUAAAGCUGUUUGUUACGAUGUACUUACGUAACACGAAAAUAGAAAUUGUAAACACUGUAGCAAUGCUAAGCCAACCGAGUGUAGUGCCGCUUUGAAAGUAAAAUUAAUCGUGCGAAACCUAUCAUCGCCGUGAAUCAUAAGAAUCUCGCAAUUACAAUGUCAUAAUGAAAUUGAAUGCGUAAGAGAUGCUCGCUUCGAUAAAAGAUUAAAUCUUUUUUACUUCAUAAGGAAGUGAAUAGAAAAAUAAAUACAAACUUCAAAUAUA